UGGAGAAUGAUACUGAUUGGCGUGUGACAAACAUACACAUAUAAUUCGUUGGCAGUGUGAUCCUAGCAGUACUGUGCAUUUGUGGCCGGGGCAAGUCCCUGGCACUCUGCUAGUUCUGUGUACUCGAAAUAUCGUGCUAUCUCUUCUGUAGAUGUUAGCUGUUCUUUCCCUCUCUCUAGUUCAGUCCGUGUGUUGUAUGGGUCUGUCUAACCUUAUGGGAAAUUCAGAGAUACGCCUUUUCCACGUCAACUUUAGGGGUUAGUGACUGUAAUAAGAUGAUGAGCAGGUUCGAAAAACCGCAGUCUUUCGCUCGUGUAAGGUAUAGACUGAAGAAGAUAAUGCAGCUGCUGAUGUAUGGUUUUGACCGCGAUAACUUGUCAUCGUAUUGUUUGGACCGUGGUAACUUGUCAUAUAUUGCCUUGACUGAGACAAAAUGUUGUUUUUCCACCAAAGCGCCACACGUGCAGGUGUUGCGGCUGUCUUGUUAUGUGUUGUCUUGCACAGGAGGAAACUGAAGGAAAUGCUAUCACUGAAGGGGUUGCGGUGUGGAAGUCGUAUGUGUUCAUUGCCUCCAUGUCCUCUGAAGCUAGUAGCUUGAGUUUCCCAGCUGCUCAAUAUGACUGGACUGAUUCAGACUUGGUAUUCAUCCUAGCACAGCAGGUCAUUGCCAUUACAGCAGGUCAUUGCCAUUACUGGACUGAUUCAGACUGCUCAAUAUAACUGGACUGCUUCAGACUGCUCAAUAUAACUGGACUGAUCCGUCUAACCUUAUGGUAAAUUCAGAGUUUUCCACGUCAACUUUAGGGGGUAGUGACUGUAAUAAGAUGGUGAUAUCCACCGCUUACGGUGUUGAACAGGUUCGAAAAAACCGCAGUCUUUCGCUCGUGCAAGGUAUUGACUGUAGAAGACAAUGCAGCUGCUGAUGUAUGGUUUUGACCGCAAUAACUUGUCAUCGUGUUGUUUUGACUGUGGUAACUUGUCAUAUAUUGCUUUGACUGCAAGAACCUGUUGUUUG
rnacentral:lncRNA from 1 species